rnacentral:snRNA from 1 species
AGCUUUGCGCAGUGGCAGUAUCGUAGCCAAUGAGGUUUAUCCGAGGUGUGAUUAUUGCUAAUUGAAAACUUUUCUCAAAGACAUAUAUGCGUUAAUUCAUUUACUACUUACUGCUAAAGUCUAAGAUAUUAUUAUCCCCAUGUGAAAGAUGAGGAGACU